UGUGAAGCCACUUUAUUAAAAGAGGAAGACUCGUUAUACCUUUCUAUCUCUAAAAGCCUUUUUACAGGGUACUUUUAUUGACUCGAGAGGAUGAAACAUGAGUUACUUUUUAAUACCUGCUUCCAUUAAUAAGUCUGUGAAGUAAUAAAAGGGUUCUAUACCAUUUCACAUCUAAAUACGAAGUCAUGAAACUUAUUCAUGUAAUUAGUCACAUCUGAAGUAAAUUGCAUAAGAUUGAAUAUUUGGUCCACUAGAUGACUCUUAUAACAGGUGGGCAAAUAUUUUUCCUUACAUUUUUGCUUCAUGAUUGUCCAUUGAGUAACAGUUGGUUCAUUCAAACGCUUAAUAUUUCACUGAACACCUUGUCAAUACUUCUUGGCAACUCCAAUCAAAUUCAUUUUGGUCAAAUGAACACUCCUAGAUUAGACAUGAUAAAAAAGCAUACAAAUCCUA
rnacentral:misc_RNA from 1 species